rnacentral:rRNA from 1 species
UACGGGGGGUGCGAGCGUUGUCCGGAAUCACUGGGCGUAAAGGGCGCGUAGGUGGUUUGAUAAGGGUGUGGUGAAAGUCCGGGGCUCAACCCCGGAUCUGCCGUGCCGACUGUCAAACUCGAGGACUGUAGAGGCAGACGGAAUUCCGGGUGUAGCGGCGGAAUGCGUAGAGAUCCGGAGGAAGACCGGUGGCGAAGGCGGUCUGCUGGGCAGUUUCUGACACUGAGGCGCGACAGCGUGGGGAGCAAACAGG